GUGCUUGCUUCAGCAGCACAUAUCUUAAAAUUGGAAAGACGCAGAGAUUAGCAUGGCCGCUGCACAAGGAUGACAUGCAUGCAAAUUCAUGAAGAGUUCCAUAAUAAA